rnacentral:misc_RNA from 1 species
GGGGUAAAUUAGGCUAGACUACAUUUUCUUGAGAUAAUAUUAGAGUCUUUUCCGUCAAUGUGGGGCCUUUUAUACUAUUUUACUCUCCAACUGUUCAAUCUCAACAUUUUGGGACAGGAGUAAUCUGGUCCUUAUAAAGCCUGAGCACUAUUCCCUUGAGUUUGACUCAGCCACAUUUCCUUUUUUUUAAAAAAAAAAAUGGAAAAGAAAAUUCACUGGAAAUCUCCG